rnacentral:rRNA from 1 species
AGGAUAAACGCUGGCGGCGUGCCUAACACAUGCAAGUCGAACGAGAAAGGGGUAGCAAUACCCUGAGUAAAGUGGCGCACGGGUGAGUAACACGUGACUAACCUACCCUGGAGUGGGGGAUAACUGAGGGAAACCUUAGCUAAUACCGCAUAAUACCUACGGGUCAAAGGAGCAAUUCGCUUUGGGAGGGGGUCGCGGCCGAUUAGUUAGUUGGCGGGGUAAUGGCCCACCAAGACUGUGAUCGGUAUCCGGCCUGAGAGGGCGCACGGACACACUGGAACUGAAACACGGUCCAGACUCCUACGGGAGGCAGCAGUGGGGAAUUUUGCGCAAUGGGGGAAACCCUGACGCAGCAACGCCGCGUGGAGGAUGAAGUCCCUCGGGACGUAAACUCCUUUCGAUCGGGACGAUAAUGACGGUACCGGAAGAAGAGCCCGGCUAACUUCGCGCCAGCAGCCGC